rnacentral:lncRNA from 10 species
CAAAUUUGGAGCCCAGGGAGGCUCGCUUUGGGGCGAUCCUGGCAAGCCCACAUUCCGAGAAAGUGUACCUCAGCGAUGAGGCCACCGCUGGCUCUCAGCCUGGAGCUCCUGGCCUGGGGCAGGGAGAGAGAAGGGGCCUAAGAGUGGCUGGCACUUACUGAGCAUGUCUUAUGCCCCAGGCCAAGCCUGUCCGUGAUCCGGUUCAUCUAUUCUUCACAACAACCUAUGCAGUAGGUCCUUUGUGAAACCACUUGCAGGGUCCUGCUCCCAGCUGUGCAAGCUGCAAGGAAGAACGAGCCCCCUCCUCCAAGGCCUCGACGGUCCACUCAGUCACCCACUUAAGAAUUCACCAAAUAAGUAAUGACUAAGUCUGACUGGGAGAAAAUGAAAGCUCUCUUGGAGGGGAAAACAAGUUACUCAUGCAACCAAGAGCAUAUCCUUGGCACCCUCCAUGAGUGGAGCCACGGCAGGAGGGGCAGACAGGAACAAACGGUGGCCAUGAAUCAUGCUGUGUGCGAGCUCCUUUGUUUCUAAGGCAUGUGGUUUCCAGAGAAACCAGGGAACACUGCCUUCAGGUAAACACGCCCACCACCCAUGCUUCUUGGAACAGGCUCUGUCCUCCAGGAGCCCCAUUAAAGAGGCCUAGCUGCU